CACGUAGGGUGCGAGCGUUGUCCGGAAUUAUUGGGCGUAAAGAGCUCGUAGGCGGUGUGUCGCGUCGGCCGUGAAAACCUGCAGCUUAACUGUGGGCGUGCGGUCGAUACGGGCAUCACUGGAGUUCGGCAGGGGAGACUGGAAUUCCUGGUGUAGCGGUGAAAUGCGUAGAUAUCAGGAGGAACACCGAUGACGAAGGCAGGUCUCUGGGCUGACACUGACGCUCAUGCACGAAAGCGUGGGGAGCAAACAGG
rnacentral:rRNA from 1 species